CCUACGGGAGGCAGCAGUGGGGAAUAUUGGGCAAUGGAGGAAACUCUGACCCAGCAACGCCGCGUGAAUGAUGAAGGUCCUCGGAUUGGAAAGUUCUUUUCUAAGGGAAGAAGAAAGUGACGGUAGUUUAGGAAUAAGCCUCGGCUAACUACGAGCAAGCAGCAGCGGUAAUACGUAGGAGGCAAGAGUUAUCAGGAAUGACUGGGCGUAAAGGGUGCGUAGGUGGUUUGAUAAGUUGGUAGCGAAACUCCGCGGCUGAACCUCGGCAGUACUACCAAAACUGGCUGACUUGAGUGCAGGAGGGGCAACUGGAAUGCCUGGUGUAGCGGUGGAAUGCGUAGAUAUUAGGCGGAACUCCAGUGGCGAAGGCGAGUUGCUGGACUGUAACUGACACUGAGGCACGAAAGCGUGGGGAGCAAACAGGAUUAGAUACCCGUGUAGUC
rnacentral:rRNA from 1 species